UACGGAGGAUCCAAGCGUUAUCCGGAUUUAUUGGGCUUAAAGGGUGCGUAGGCGGCUUGUUAAGUCAGGGGUGAAAGACGGUAGCUCAACUAUCGCAGUGCCCUUGAUACUGAUGGGCUUGAAUGGACUAGAGGUAGGCGGAAUGUGACAAGUAGCGGUGAAAUGCUUAGAUAUGACAUAGAACACCAAUUGCGAAGGCAGCUCACUACACAAUCAUUGACGCUGAGGCACGAAAGCGUGGGGAUCAAACAGG
rnacentral:rRNA from 1 species